CGGCAACAGCUCAAAUUUGAAAUCUGGCGCAAGCCCGAGUUGUAAUUUGGAGAGGAUGCUUCUGGGCAGCGGUCGGUUUAAGUUUCUUGGAACAGAACGUCAUAGAGGGUGAGAAUCCCGUAUGUGACCGACAGGCACCCUCCACGUAGCUCCUUCGAC
rnacentral:rRNA from 1 species